rnacentral:rRNA from 1 species
UACAGAGGGGGCAAGCGUUGUUCGGAAUUACUGGGCGUAAAGGGCGCGUAGGCGGCCUGUUAAGUCGAACGUGAAAUCCCUGGGCUCAACCCAGGAACUGCGUCCGAUACUGGCAGGCUUGAAUUCGGGAGAGGGAUGCGGAAUUCCAGGUGUAGCGGUGAAAUGCGUAGAUAUCUGGAGGAACACCGGUGGCGAAGGCGGCAUCCUGGACCGAUAUUGACGCUGAGGCGCGAAAGCCAGGGGAGCAAAC